AUGCUUGAAGAAUUUUGCCAAAACUUUGAAGAAGAAACUAGCCGGCUGGAGCCAAACCUCGACCCCGUCAAUUCUCCGGUGAACGACGAAGUUGCCAUGGAUGUUUUCCGACUGGAGUCUCGUGUUGCAGCUGUCGUGGACUAUCUCGCAAGGCUGAAGGCCGCCACAUCUCGCAUCGACUCGACGCUCUGGCCUGGGGAGACACUUCAGAAUGACCUUGAGUCGCUGAUGGCCCGCUUGAACACGAUCCCUGGUCGAGUGCAGGAAUGGAAGAAGUCCUCGGCUCGGUGUGGUGCAGAUGUUGCUCUGUGUCUGGCCCGAGUCCACUGUAAAGAUGCGCGAGAAGAGAAGCUGGCGGCCCUUCGGGUGACCAACACCAAGAAACACGACUUCAGGUCCUUUAUGGAAACUUUCCUUGCGGCUGCCACUCGGAUCGCCGACGGAAUUGACCUUGAUGAGUUCGUUGCACCUUCCAGCCCUCCACAGGAGGGGUAA
rnacentral:rRNA from 1 species